rnacentral:rRNA from 1 species
CCUACGGGUGGCAGCAGUGGGGAAUAUUGCACAAUGGGGGGAACCCUGAUGCAGCGACGCCGCGUGGGUGAAGGAGUACUUCGGUACGUAAAGCCCUAUCAGCAGGAAAGAAAAUGACGGUAUCUGACUAAGAAGCCACGGCUAACUACGUGCCAGCAGCCGCGGUAAUACGUAGGGGGCAAGCGUUAUGCGGAUUUACUGGGUGUAAAGUGAGCGUAGACUGCAGGGCAAGUCCGGAGUGAAAGCCCGGGGCUCAACCCUGGGACUGCUCUGGAUACUGGAAAGCUGGAGUGCGGGAGGGGGAGGUGGAAUUCCUGGUGUAGCGGUGAAAUGCGUAGAGAUCAGGAGGAACACCGGCGGCGAAGGCGGCCUGCUGGACCGUGACUGACGUUGAGGUGCGAAAGCGUGGGGAGCAAACAGGAUUAGAUACCCGUGUAGUC